AACGCACCUUGCGCUCCUUGGUAUUCCGAGGAGCAUGCCUGUUUGAGUGUCAUUAAAUUCUCAACCUCACCAGUUUUGUAAUGAGACUGUGUAAGGCUUGGAUGUGGGGGUUUUUUGCAGGCUGCCUCUGGCGGUCUGCUCCCCUGAAAUGCAUUAGCGAGUUCACUAAGCUCCGUCUAUUGGUGUGAUAAUUAUCUACGCCGUGGAAGGGGUUUAGACUUGCUUCUAACCGUCUGCAAAGACAACUUUUGACAAUUUGACCUCAAAUCAGGUAGGACUACCCGCUGAACUUAA
rnacentral:misc_RNA from 1 species